GAGAUGUGCGUGGCUGCAGCCUAGUGAAGCCUGCUGUGUGAGCCAGCUGGGCAGGUAGCCAGCACGGGCCUCAGUCUACCAGGUUGAGGUCUAGCAUGUCCAAGGUGUUCUGAGCUGGCAGCUCAGAGAAGUUCUACCCAGGAGAGCCAAGGCACAGGAUCAAACCCCCGGACCCUGGCACAAGGUAAAGUGUGCUUUGCAAAAGUAUCCUUCCCCUUGGAGGCAUUUGCUGGCUCUCCGGUGGGCAAGCCAGGGAGUCGCUGGGAACCUCUACAUGUUGUCGGUUCAUGGUAGCGACAGACACUUCUUCUAUUACCCUGAAAUGCAUUUUAUUGGAAUUCUUGCCCUGUCUGGUGUUCCAGAUGAACUGUGGAUCAUCUCUCAUAGGCAGAGAACUAAAGACGCAAGGCAGAUCCUGCCAGGGUGCCACAGAGGGUGGUGACUUUUAAAAAACAGUUGUGUUUGGAUGUGAUUACCCCCAAGAAUGGAAAAAAAAAAGUGUUUUAGGCUUUGGGCUUGGUCCGUUCUCUCCCUCUCUCCUUCUCUCCCUCUCUCCCUCUCUCCCCUUUCUCAUUUUGUGUAUAUGCAUGCGCACACUUGCUUUUGGGUUUGAGAGCUUUGAGGAAUUUGCUUCUGGGAAGAAGAGAGGUUUUCAGAGUCACAGUUAGGAGGAGCUGGUAUUGAAGAUGAGAUGAACUCUUUCUCUAUUCAUUACUGUAAUGUGUGAAUAUUUUUCUUUAAUAAGAUCCUCAUGACUAUAAGUGAAGAUUAAUAUGUUUGGAUAGUACUCCUUUUUUCCAUAGGUUUUUAUUUUUACCUUAUGUGUGUGCCUUGGUGGUGUUUUUGUGUAUGUGCUUCUGUCUGAGAGUGUCGGGUCCCCUGGAACUGGUGUGAGUUACCAUGUGGGUACAGGGAACUGACUGAACCCUGGUCCUCUAGAAGAGCAGCCCCUGCUCUAACCAUUGAGCCACCUCUCCAGCCCUUGGACAAGACUCUUAUUUGUUUCAGCUACAGCUUGAAAGAGCCCUCACGUGUGACCGCUCACCACGUGAGUGGGGUCCAGUCUUAGGAAAAAUAGUUGUCCUAAGAGCCCAGCCGUUCUUGCAGUUUUAUCGGAAAGUUUAUUGUAUUUUGUAUGGACCUUUCAAAGUUUGUUGUGGUAGCUCUGAAGAUGAUUUUUUAGAUGAGAAAGUUGUUACCCAGACUGUGGUGGAAGUAGAUGAGAGCGGUGGUUGGUAGAUUUGGAGGAAAUCUGAGCCGGGCUCCCUGUGGCUGCCGAGGAGUGUUAAGAGGAUGUGAAGUUAUUUAGAUUAUCCAAACAGGUUCUGACAGGUAAAUGAAAAAAAAAAACCUAAUUAAAAUAUAAUUGUUGCCAUUCUGUAACGGAUCAAAAGGCUGGCUGGGUCUCAGGUGCUUCCAGUGGCUGAUUUUGCCAGGCUUCUAGGCACGAAUUACUUUUAAGCAGGUGUGGUGCCAGACCUCUUGUGGAGCUGUGAAUGGAAGUUGUGAGGAGAUGUUUUAAGUGGGGUUGCUUAAGCGUUUUCAUGGGUCAGUGAGUUUAACCCUGUAUCAGCGGUUCAUCUACCAGCCACAGGGAAUGCUGCACCAGGGCCACAAAGGGCUUCCUCUGCAGCGAUUGCAGCUUAUCUGGAAGACCAGGCAGACAGAGCCACAGGGGUUUUGUAAUCUGCUGAGCCCUUCAGAACAGGGUUUUCAGCCUUUGCACUGCUGACAUUUUGGAUGGAGUCAUGCUUUGUGGCUGGGGACUGUCCUGAAGGAUGUUGAACAUCAGGUUUCGCCUGCACUUGCCCGGUGACAGUGGUACCUCCCUCCCCAGCCACAACCUCAAAUGCCUCCAGACUUUGGCAGAGCCUCCAGUGUGUGUGUAGGGGGAGGGGGGAGAGUGGCCCGCACCUGAAGGAGUUCUGCAGAGUCCCAGGAAAGGAAUCAGACUAGCAUUUUAGCCUUAUCAUUUAGGUUGUUGUCUGACCUUUAUCUGAGGGCACAUCUGUUGGGAUGGGGGUGGGGUGGUAUAUGCCUCCUUCUCUUUGCCCUCAAAGGCCAUCUGGUAUUUGUCCCUGAUGUGGUUUGUAUAGUCAGGCAUCUAUAUCUUGAGUGCAUCCGGGAACUUCAAUUU
rnacentral:lncRNA from 1 species